rnacentral:misc_RNA from 1 species
GAAAUGCGAUAAGUAAUGUGAAUUGCAGAAUUCAGUGAAUCAUCGAAUCUUUGAACGCACCUUGCGCUCCUUGGUAUUCCUUGGAGCAUGCCUGUUUGAGUAUCAUGAAAUCUUCAAAGUAAAUCUUUUGUUAACUCAAUUGGUUUCUACUUUGGUAUUGGAGGUCUUUGCAGCUUCACACCUGCUCCUCUUUGUUCAUUAGCUGGAUCUCAGUGUUAUGCUUGGUUCCACUCGGCGUGAUAAGUUAUCUAUCGCUGAGGACACUGUAAAAGGUGGCCAAGGUAAAUGCAGAUGAACCGCUUCUAAUAGUCCAUUGACUUGGACAAUACUUUUAUGAUCUGAUCUGAAAUCAGGUAGGACUACCCGCUGAACUUAAGC